CCUACGGGAGGCAGCAGUGGGGAAUAUUGCACAAUGGGGGAAACCCUGAUGCAGCGACGCCGCGUGAGUGAAGAAGUAAUUCGUUAUGUAAAGCUCUAUCAGCAGGGAAGAAAAUGACGGUACCUGAGUAAGAAGCCCCGGCUAACUACGUGCCAGCAGCCGCGGUAAUACGUAGGGGGCAAGCGUUAUCCGGAUUUACUGGGUGGAAAGGGAGCGUAGACGGCAGUGCAAGUCUGUAGUGAAAGGCGGGGGCUCAACCCCCGGACUGCUCUGGAAACUGUACGGCUGGAGUGCAGGAGCGGUAAGUGGAAUUCCUAGUGUAGCGGUGAAAUGCGUAGAUAUUAGGAGGAACACCAGUGGCGAAGGCGGCUUACUGGACUGUAACUGACGUUGAGGCUCGAAAGCGUGGGGAGCAAACAGGAUUAGAUACCCUUGUAGUC
rnacentral:rRNA from 1 species